rnacentral:tRNA from 1 species
GAGGGUAUAGCUCAUAGAGCGCUUGCUUAGCAUGCACAAGGUCCUGGGGUCGAUCCCCAGUACCUCCA